GACGAACGCCGGCGGCGUGCCUAAUACAUGCAAGUUGAGCGCUGAAGGUUGGUACUUGUACCAACUGGAUGAGCAGCGAACGGGUGAGUAACGCGUGGGGAAUCUGCCUUUGAGCGGGGGACAACAUUUGGAAACGAAUGCUAAUACCGCAUAAAAACUUUAAACACAAGUUUUAAGUUUGAAAGAUGCAAUUGCAUCACUCAAAGAUGAUCCCGCGUUGUAUUAGCUAGUUGGUGAGGUAAAGGCUCACCAAGGCGAUGAUACAUAGCCGACCUGAGAGGGUGAUCGGCCACAUUGGGACUGAGACACGGCCCAAACUCCUACGGGAGGCAGCAGUAGGGAAUCUUCGGCAAUGGACGAAAGUCUGACCGAGCAACGCCGCGUGAGUGAAGAAGGUUUUCGGAUCGUAAAACUCUGUUGGUAGAGAAGAACGUUGGUGAGAGUGGAAAGCUCAUCAAGUGACGGUAACUACCCAGAAAGGGACGGCUAACUACGUG
rnacentral:rRNA from 1 species